AUUGAACGCUGGCGGCAUGCCUUACACAUGCAAGUCGAACGGUAACAGGUCUUCGGAUGCUGACGAGUGGCGAACGGGUAAGUAAUUCAUCGGAACGUGCCUAGUAGUGGGGGAUAACUACUAGAAAGAGUGGCUAAUACCGCAUGAGAUCUACGGAUGAAAGCAGGGGAUCGCAAGACCUUGUGCUACUAGAGCGGCCGAUGGAAGAUUAGGUAGUUGGUGGGAUAAAAGCUUACCAAGCCGACGAUCUGUAGCUGGUCUGAGAGGACGAUCAGCCACACUGGGACUGAGACACGGCCCAGACUCCUACGGGAGGCAGCAGUGGGGAAUUUUGGACAAUGGGCGCAAGCCUGAUCCAGCAAUGCCGCGUGCAGGAUGAAGGCCUUCGGGUUGUAAACUGCUUUUGUACGGAACGAAAAGCCCUGGGUUAAUACCCUGGGGUCAUGACGGUACCGUAAGAAUAAGCACCGGCUAACUACGUGCCAGCAGCCGCCGUAACAC
rnacentral:rRNA from 1 species